GACGAACGCUGGCGGCGUGCUUAACACAUGCAAGUCGAACGAAGUGGCGAACGGGUGAGUAAUACGUGGGUAACCUGCCCUCCUUUUUGGGAUAAGCCUUGGAAACGGGGUCUAAUACCGAAUAAAGGGGGAUGGGCUCGCGGCCUAUCAGCUUGUUGGAGGGGUAACGGCCCACCAAGGCGAUGAUCAGUAGACGGUCUGAGAGGUGGAACGGGCACAUGGGGACUGAGACACGGCCCGGACUCCUACGGGAGGCGGUAGUGGGGAAUCUUCCGCAAUGGACGAAAGACUGAGGGAGCGACGCCGGGUGGGGGGUGACGGCUUUCGGGUUGUAAGCCUCUUUCGCUAUCGAACGGGUAGGUGGAGAAGAAGCGCCGGCUAACUACGUGCCAGCAGCCGCGGUAAUUC
rnacentral:rRNA from 1 species